GAUGAACGCUGGCGGCGUGCCCUAAUACAUGCAAGGUCGGACGGAUGUAGCAAUACAUUAGUGGCGAACGGGUGAGUAACACGUAGGUGACCUGCCCUAAAGAGGGGAAUACCACUUCGAAAGGAGUGACAAAACCGCAUAAACUUAUAGAGAUCAGAAGGCUAUAAGGAAAAGAGCGAUCUACUUUAGGAGGGGCCUGCGGCCCAUCAGCUAGUUGGUAGAGGUAACGGCCUACCAAGGCGAAGACGGGUAGGGGACCUGAGAGGGUGAUCCCCCACAAUGGAACUGAAACACGGUCCAUACACCUGCGGGUGGCAGCAGUAGGGAAUAUUGCUUAAUGGGCGAAAGCCUGAAGCAGCAACGCCGCGUGGACGAAGAAGGCCUUCGGGUUGUAAAGCUCUUUCGGCUGGGAAGAAAUCGCAUCUCCUAAUACGGGGUGUGGAUGACGGUACCAGCAUAAGAAGCACCGGCUAACUACGUG
rnacentral:rRNA from 1 species